rnacentral:rRNA from 1 species
CCUACGGGGGGCAGCAGUGGGGAAUAUUGGACAAUGGGCGAAAGCCUGAUCCAGCAAUGCCGCGUGAGUGAUGAAGGCCUUAGGGUUGUAAAGCUCUUUUACCAGGGAUGAUAAUGACAGUACCUGGAGAAUAAGCUCCGGCUAACUCCGUGCCAGCAGCCGCGGUAAUACGGAGGGAGCUAGCGUUGUUCGGAAUUACUGGGCGUAAAGCGUGCGUAGGCGGUUAUUCAAGUCAGAGGUGAAAGCCUGGAGCUCAACUCCAGAACUGCCUUUGAAACUAGAUAGCUAGAAUCUUGGAGAGGUUAGUGGAAUUCCGAGUGUAGAGGUGAAAUUCGUAGAUAUUCGGAAGAACACCAGUGGCGAAGGCGACUAACUGGACAAGUAUUGACGCUGAGGUACGAAAGCGUGGGGAGCAAACAGGAUUAGAUACCCUAGUAGUC